AAUCCAUAGGUUAAUGAGGCGAACCGGGGGAACUGAAACAUCUAAGUACCCCGAGGAAAAGAAAUCAACCGAGAUUCCCCCAGUAGCGGCGAGCGAACGGGGAGGAGCCCAGAGCCUGAAUCAGCAUGUGUGUUAGUGGAAGCGUCUGGAAAGGCGCGCGAUACAGGGUGACAGCCCCGUACACAAAAGCGCAUGUGCUGUGAGCUCGAUGAGUAGGGCGGGACACGUGGUAUCCUGUCUGAAUAUGGGGGGACCAUCCUCCAAGGCUAAAUACUCCUGACUGACCGAUAGUGAACCAGUACCGUGAGGGAAAGGCGAAAAGAACCCCGGCGAGGGGAGUGAAAAAGAACCUGAAACCGUGUACGUACAAGCAGUGGGAGCACAGGUUUACCUGUGUGACUGCGUACCUUUUGUAUAAUGGGUCAGCGACUUAUAUUCUGUAGCAAGGUUAACCGAAUAGGGGAGCCGGAGGGAAACCGA
rnacentral:rRNA from 2 species